UGCAAGUCGAACGCGAAGACCCCGCAAGGGGUUUGUAGAGUGGCGAACGGGUGAGUAACACGUGGGUGACCUACCUUCGAAUGGGGGAUAACGUCCCGAAAGGGACGCUAAUACCGCAUAACAUCCUGCCUUUGAACAGGUGGAGAUCAAAGCCGGGGAUCGCAAGACCUGGCGUUUGAAGAGGGGCCCGCGUCUGAUUAGCUAGUUGGUGAGGUAACGGCCCACCAAGGCGACGAUCAGUAUCCGGCCUGAGAGGGCGGACGGACACACUGGGACUGAGACACGGCCCAGACUCCUACGGGAGGCAGCAGUGGGGAAUUGUUCGCAAUGGGCGCAAGCCUGACGACGCAACGCCGCGUGGAGGAUGAAGGUCUUCGGAUUGUAAACUCCUGUUGCCCGGGACGAAAUGCUUCGACCUAACACGUCGAAGUUUGACGGUACCGGGUGAGGAAGCCCCGGCUAACUCUGUGCCAGCAGCCGCGGUAAUACAGAGGGGGCAAGCGUUGUUCGGAAUUACUGGGCGUAAAGGGCGCGUAGGCGGCCCGCUAAGUCGAACGUGAAAUCCCCGGGCUCAACCCGGGAACUGCGUCCGAUACUGGUGGGCUUGAAUCCGGGAGAGGGAUGCGGAAUUCCAGGUGUAGCGGUGAAAUGCGUAGAUAUCUGGAGGAACACCGGUGACGAAAGCGGCAUCCUGGACCGGUAUUGACGCUGAGGCGCGAAAGCCAGGGGAGCAAACGGGAUUAGAUACCCCGGUAGUCCUGGCCCUAAACGAUGAAUGCUUGGUGUGGCGGGUAUCGAUCCCUGCCGUGCCGAAGCUAACGCAUUAAGCAUUCCGCCUGGGGAGUACGGUCGCAAGGCUG
rnacentral:rRNA from 1 species